UCUGCCUACGGGGCGCAGCAGUGGGGAAUAUUGCACAAUGGGGGAAACCCUGAUGCAGCGACGCCGCGUGAGCGAUGAAGUAUUUCGGUAUGUAAAGCUCUAUCAGCAGGGAAGAAAAUGACGGUACCUGACUAAGAAGCCCCGGCUAACUACGUGCCAGCAGCCGCGGUAAUACGUAGGGGGCAAGCGUUAUCCGGAUUUACUGGGUGUAAAGGGAGCGUAGACGGCAGGGCAAGUCUGGAGUGAAAGCCCGGGGCCCAACCCCGGGACUGCUUUGGAAACUGCCAUGCUAGAGUGCUGGAGAG
rnacentral:rRNA from 1 species